rnacentral:lncRNA from 1 species
AUGGCAACUUCUAGUGUGUUCGUGUCUUAUAACUACCUGUAUGAAUAUCUUGUCUGCUGGUUCUGGCCACAUCGUGACUGUGGCAUUAACUACAUUAUCUCUUUUUUAAGGGACAAUGAAAGAUCACCCUUUCAAAAAAUAUUUACUCCAUUAUUUUUCCCAGAUCUGAAACUCAUGACUAUUUCAUUUUGUGAAGUCAAGGUGGAUCAAACUGAGUCAUCUUUUCCUGGGGCCAUUUGCUGACAGGCAGAAGAGAGCAUUGAGAAGAUGAGCAGGCGUUUUCACAGCCUUGUGGGGUUGAAGAGAAGAAAGCUGAAGAAUCAGCCAACUGAAGAUGGGGCCCUCUUUGCCACUCCACGGACUGUAGCUGGCCAGGCUCCUCUUCAUGGGAUUUUCCAGGCAAGACUACUGGAGUGGGUAGCCAUUUCCUUCUCCAGGGUAUCUUCCUGACCCAAGGAUCAAACCCAGGUCUCCUGCACUGCAGGCAGAUUUUUUACUGUCUGAGUCACCAGGGAAGCCCAGAGAUCUGGUGGACCCAAUUUAGUUUGAUAACCAAGAGACAUUCAUGGGCAGAGCUAUUUGUAACAGCCACAAAUUGGAUGAAAAGGAGCCCAAAGCACAUAAAUACCACAUGACAUAUCCUUACAAAGAAAUACAUUACAGCAAAGACCAAGAAAGCACUUAAGUACGUGAAACUACAUAGAUGAAUGAAAAAGUUAGUGGAUGAAGCCCUGCACAAAAUAAUAUAAACAGUGUUACUCCAUUUAUAUUAAGUUCAAAACCAGGCAAAACUAAAACACAAUAUUUGGGAUGCACACAUACAUGUUAAAUAUAUUUAAGAAGUCAAGGAAAUUAUUAUGAUAAAAUUUGGAGCAGGGAGUAUAUCUGAGGCAGAAACAGAAAUAAACAGAAAUAGAAAUAAACA